rnacentral:rRNA from 1 species
AUUGAACGCUAGCGGGAUGCCUUACACAUGCAAGUCGAACGAGUGGCGAACGGGUGCGUAAUAGAUGGGGAUCUGCCCGAUAGAGGGGGAUAACUACUGGAAACGGUGGCUAAUACCGCAUACUAUCGGAUUAACCCAUAUGGGAUUAGCUAGUAGGUGGGGUAAAGGCUCACCUAGGCGACGAUCUCUAGCUGGUCUGAGAGGAUGAUCAGCCACACUUGGAAGGAGACACGGCCCAUAUCCCUACGGGAGGCAGCAGUGGGGAAUAUUGCAAAAUGGGCGCAAGCCUGAUGCAGCCAUGCCGCGUGUAUGAAGAAGGCCUUAGGGUUGUAAAGUACUGUCAGCGGGGAGGCGUUACCCGCAGAAGAAGCACCGGCUAACUCCGUGCCAGCAGCCGCGGUAAUAC